rnacentral:rRNA from 1 species
AUUGAACGCUGGCGGCAUGCCUUACACAUGCAAGUCGAACGGUAACGCGGGGCAACCUGGCGACGAGUGGCGAACGGGUGAGUAAUGCAUCGGAACGUGCCCAGUAGUGGGGGAUAACUGCUCGAAAGAGCAGCUAAUACCGCAUACGACCUGAGGGUGAAAGGGGGGGAUCGCAAGACCUCUCGCUAUUGGAGCGGCCGAUAUCAGAUUAGCUCGUUGGUGGGGUAAGGGCCUACCAAGGCAACGAUCUGUAGUUGGUCUGAGAGGACGACCAGACACACUGGGACUGAGACGCGGCCCAGACUCCUACGGGGGGCAGCAGGGGGGAAUUUUGGACAAUGGGCGCAGGCCUGAUCCGGCAAUGCCGCGUGCAGGAAGAAGGCCUUCGGGUUGUAAACUGCUUUUGUCAGGGAAGAAAUCCUCUAGGUUAAUACCCUUGGGGGGAUGACGGUACCUGAAGAAUAAGUACCGGCUAACUACGUGCCAGCCGCCGCCGUAACAC